AAUUUUGGACAAGGGGUGAAGCGGUGACCCAGUCAUCCCGCGUGAAUGAUGAAGGCCUUCGGGAUGUAAAGUACUUUUGGUAGAGAAGAAAAGGUAUCUCCUAAUACGAGAUACUGCUGACGGUAUCUGCAGAAUAAGCAUCGGCUAACUACGUGCCAGCAGCUGCGGUAAUACGUAGGGUGCAAGCAUUAAUCGGAAUUACUGGGCGUAAAGCGUGUGUAGGCGGUUCGGAAAGAAAGAUGUGAAAUCCCAGGGCUCAACCUUGGAACUGCAUUUUUAACUGCCGAGCUAGAGUAUGUCAGAGGGGGGUAGAAUUCCACGUGUAGUAGUGAAAUGCGUAGAUAUGUGGAGGAAUACCGAUGGCGAAGGCAGCCCCCUGGGAUAAUACUGACGCUCAGACACGAAAGCGUGGGGAGCAAACA
rnacentral:rRNA from 1 species